GACGAACGCUGGCGGCGUGCCUAACACAUGCAAGUCGAACGAAGCAUAGCAAUAUGCUUAGUGGCGGACGGGUGAGUAACGCGUGAACAAUCUGCCCUGUACAAAGGAAUAGCCUCGGGAAACCGGGAUUAAAACCGUAUGACACUUUAGUAUCGCAUGAUAAGAAAGUCAAAUCGAAUAGAGGUAUGGGAUGAGUUCGCGUCUGAUUAGCUGGUUGGCGGGUAACGCCCACCAAGGCGAUGAUCAGUAGCCGGCCUGAGAGGGUGAACGGCCACACUGGAACUGAGACACGGUCCAGACUCCUACGGAGGCAGCAGUGGGGAAUAUUGCACAAUGGAGGGAACUCUGAUGCAGCGACGCCGCGUGAGUGAAGAAGGUCUUCGGAUCGUAAAACUCUGUCCUUGGUGAAGAAAAGGACGGUAGCCAAGGAGGAAGCCCCGGCUAACUACGUGCCAGCAAGCCGCGGUAAGCUGUAGUCGU
rnacentral:rRNA from 1 species